rnacentral:rRNA from 1 species
CCUACGGGCGGCAGCAGUAGGGAAUCUUCCACAAUGGGCGAAAGCCUGAUGGAGCAACGCCGCGUGGGUGAAGAAGGUCUUCGGAUCGUAAAACCCUGUUGUUAGAGAAGAAAGUGUGGGAGAGUAACUGUUCACGUUUCGACGGUAUCUAACCAGACAGCCACGGCUAACUACGUGCCAGCAGCCGCGGUAAUACGUAGGUGGCAAGCGUUAUCCGGAUUUAUUGGGCGUAAAUGGAACGCAGUCGGGCUUUUAAGUCUGAUGUGAAAGCCUUCGGCUUAACCGGAGGAGUGCAUUGGAAACUGGGAGACUGGAGUGCAGAAGAGGAGAGUGGAAUUCCAUGUGUAGCGGUGAAAUGCGUAGAUAUAUGGAAGAACACCAGUGGCGAAGGCGGCUCUCUGGGCUGUAACUGACGCUGAGGUUCGAAAGCGUGGGUAGCAAACAGGAUUAGAUACCCGAGUAGUC